rnacentral:rRNA from 1 species
CCUACGGGAGGCAGCAGUGAGGAAUAUUGGUCAAUGGACGAGAGUCUGAACCAGCCAAGUAGCGUGAAGGAUGACUGCCCUAUGGGUUGUAAACUUCUUUUAUAUGGGAAUAAAAUGUUCCACGUGUGGGAUUUUGUAUGUACCAUAUGAAUAAGGAUCGGCUAACUCCGUGCCAGCAGCCGCGGUAAUACGGAGGAUCCGAGCGUUAUCCGGAUUUAUUGGGUUUAAAGGGAGCGUAGGUGGAUUGUUAAGUCAGUUGUGAAAGUUUGCGGCUAAACCGUAAAAUUGCAGUUGAAACUGGCAGUCUUGAGUACAGUAGAGGUGGGCGGAAUUCGUGGUGUAGCGGUGAAAUGCUUAGAUAUCACGAAGAACUCCGAUUGCGAAGGCAGUUCACUGGACUGCAACUGACACUGAGGCUUGAAAGUGUGGGUAUCAAACAGGAUUAGAUACCCUUGUAGUC